GUGGGGGCAACUGCCACCAAUAAAAUAUAAAUAGUUUACGUUUUUUAAUAAGAUAUAGUAAGUAAAGUAGCAGAAUUGUAAGAAAUGCCCCCACUAAAAGCAAGAGUUAUCGGGUUUAAAGCUAUUUAGAGACAUUUUGCCCCCAUUAAAUAUUUCUGCUGGGUCCGCCCCUGAUCGUAAACCAUAUGUCAGUCUCAUAAGGAUUUGCUUUGUUGUGCUGAAGUAAAUCCGCAAGCUUUUGUUCUCUAACACAAAAGAAAGUCACAUAGUCAUCAUUCCCAGCACUAAACUACUAUUAUUCUACACCACUCGUCUUUACAUUAACGACCUUUACAUUGUCCGUGCUGCUUCUUUAGAACUACUAACCACACUUGUUCUGUUUUGCAUAUGUGAAAGUUUUUUACAUGUUUGUGUGUCCAUACAGAGGACCGCAUGUUUACAACAACAACAAAAAAAAAAAAAGAAAAAAACAGAGGACCGCAUGUUUUAAAGUUCCUUUGGUGAAUGGAGGAAAAAACACGUUACUCAAAAAGUAAUACGAUAAGUGGUCCGGCCAUUUCUAGCUCCUCCAUUACUCCAUUCAAGCAUCUAGAUCUAACCCCUUUGGUUACACAUUUACAAUGAAUCUUCUUAGAAAAUAUCUGACACCA